AACGCACCUAGAGUAGGUCUUUCCAUAUAGCUCGAGAAAACAUUUCUAGCGAGCCGCUUAAAUUAGACGGCUUCCGACCACCGUCGUCUUGGCACCUCAAUCGUCUAUAGUAGUUUGUCCACUGCCGCACACCUAGCCAACAAAAACCCAAUCUAGUGUUGGCUAUUCCAAUAGACAUCACCACACCAUCCCUCAUCGACCAAAACACGAAAAGCAGAGACAUUGACAUAAUUGAUGUAGCACCAUCACUGUCGCUGUAGCAGCGACAUGGCAACUGCAAUAGUAGUGUACAGGGCAUUUGUGAUCUCUGUACUCGGUUGGGAGGUUUUGAGAUUUGGGGGGAUUUGGGGGUUUUGUUUUAAUUUAGAACGUAAUAAAUACGGGUUUAUGUAAUGUUUAAGUAAUUUAGAGUAUUAAUCUAAUCGGGUCAUUUUUAGAGUAUAGGGCCUAAUUUCCCCUUUUUUUUUAUUUUAAUGGGUUAAUAAAGAAAAACAAACAGGGACUUAGUUUGCUUUCUCUGGUUAUAUUGGGCCAAUCUACGUUCUAUUCCCGGGCUGGCUAUUCUCAGCCCAGCCCAAAUGUAAAGGGUGAAAUCCUACUCUACUAGUGGAGAAGCAACAGCAACACAAGUAGAUAGGUAUAGACAAUGCAUACAACCGACGGUAUAGAGAGAGAGACAAUAGUGGACAUAUCAUAUGAGAGUGGUGGUCGGUUUCAAUUGGUGGACGCCACCCCACUAGAGAGAGAAAUCCUGCAUUAGGUAUAGGGUGGGUGGCGUUGGGUGGGUAAGUAGGUAAAUGACAACUAAAGAUUUUAGAGAGAGAGAGAGAGAAACAGAUUGUUACGUGUGAGUGGUGGAGAAAAUGGGUUGUGGGGUGGACCGGUGGCAAGUGGGGUGGGCGUAGAGAGUGCAUUAUCACCCAUUUGCGCAUGCUAGCAUCAUCAUCCUCACCCCACCCAACAGCCUAAGUCCUUUCUCACUACAAUUACUGUUACUCUUAAAUUCAAUGCCUAUGUGCUAUCUCAUGAUAUCAACCACCACAACAAUACCCCCACCACCACUCCCAACCACCCCAUCUUGCUAUCGUGCGCUCCUUAACAUUGUUUGUCCCUUUAUACAUCCCACAUUAGCAUUAAAAAACAGUCACCAAUUUCCUCUUUAUCUUCGACACUAUUUUCUCCCCCGUCUUGCUAACGUGCACUUCCUCCAUCACCACCAGUUUUUGACCCUUGGCACAAAUCCCCCAACCUGCAUCCUGUCUUUGAUAAAAGUUUUUUUAUUUUGCCCAAAGAUGAGAACUUUUUGGUCUGUAACCACGCUACCGCCUUGCUAACGUACGCCGCAACCACCUGCACAACAGAUCUAUCGAAAGGCGACGCCGUCAGGUUGGCUAACGUGCGCCGUUUGUCUUGAUUUUGAUUUCCGGUCCUUUUAUUGUACCAUCCGAACAAGCCAUGUCAUCCACCGCAACAGCCACCACUCUCGCCGUGGGGGACGUAGUCGCCACUGAAACGGUGGAAAAACCUCCCCGGAGAUUCCCGCCUCCAUGCUGGACCCAAGAGGAGACGCUGGCUCUGAUUGACGCCUAUCGCGAGAGGUGGUACGCUCUCCGGAGGGGUUACCUGCGCACGGCGGAUUGGGAUGCGGUGGCGGCCAUCAUCAAU
rnacentral:lncRNA from 1 species